UCCCAUCGCGAAAGCCUCCCCCUCGCGACGCCCAGCCGGCGCUCGCCCCCACGCCCUAGCGCCCUCGCGCCCGCUCUCCGUCCCCUCGCAGUCCCUCGCGGCCUCGCCCUCGCCCUCGCCCAGCGCCAUCCCCUCGUCCUCGUUCGCCGUCGUGCGAGACAACGCCCGGACGCCCUAGCACCCUCGCGCCCGCUCGCCGUCCCCUCGCCGUAGUAUGAAUCCCACCGGAAACGCCCCCCCCCCCACCCCGCCCCGUCCCGACAAUCCGCUCGACCUCGCCUCCCCCGACGAUCCGCUCCGAUACAGGGCCCUCGCCGUCGGCCCCGCGUCCGGCCCUCGCCCUCGGAUCCGCGGCCACGCGGACUCGCUGCCAAGGUCUCCCGGGCUUUGAGACGCGCAGCCUGCCAUCCUUUCCGGCCGUCAUCACCCCUGGGGAAUUUAUCGUGCGUGAUUUUCGUUUUGCUUGGAGCGGGCGCCCUCAGCACCCUGCUUCGUAGUGCUAAGGUAAUUUCUGAAUUUGCAAUUCAUUCCGAUACGAGGAGCCAAUACACAGACGCCUCCCCUUCCUGUUUUUCCAAUCCCCUCGGCGCAAUCAUCUGAAUGGCAUUCUCGUGGGUUGAAAAGAUUAUAUACGGGCAUGUUAUUAAUUUCCUUCCAUUGUAUAGCAUUAAUUUCCUUCCAUUGUAUAGCAUAGUGUUGCAUUUUAAUGUGUGUCAACUAUAAAUAUUCACGCAUUCUUUGUGCCACUAGAGAUAAACGAUCAGCUGAAAAAAAUAAAUUGGGCAUGGCAGUGGGCUCCUGAUCCACGGGAACCUGCUGCUUAUGCACGACAUGAGAGCAUGCAGCUCCCUUAUGUGGUAACCCUGGCUCAUGAAUUUCCACCUUAGGCUGUUCUUAUCUAUUUUAUUUAUGAAACAAGCAACACCCUUUCACUGAUGGGUUAGUCAUCCUUGCACACUGAAGCUUCUCUAUAUCAAGUAAGUGCACACUGAAGCUAGCAUUACAGAAUGGCAGAAAGGAUGAUUGAGUUUCUCUCUAGCUCAGCCAAGCUACCCUGUGAGCAAUAUGUUUUUACUCGAUGAUUUUCUUGUACAACCAAGCAAUUGUGGCCUCGACAGCAAAGUGAUCUUAGGCUGCAUGUUACAGAUAUGUCAGUAGUAAAUUAAGCUUUAGCCCUAUGCAAACACCAUAUUUCAUAUUGCACUUUGUUCUUUCUUUCCCAAAAGUUCUGUACUGACUAAUAGUUUUCUUCAUUUGUAUGCAUGGAUUCACAAAUAGACCAAAUAUGGUAAGAGGUCAAUGACCACAUUGUCAAUUCUUCAUUGGAUUCAUCUCAUCUGGUGCAGCACAUGGUUAUGCUUUCCAAAAUUUCAGAUCACACUUACAGGAUUUUGGUAAAAAUGUGCCCAGCCCUAGGCACGCCUCCAGCACAAGCAAGGAACACCUGCAGCCAUCUACCAGGAGUGCGAGCCCCAGCUGCCGUCCGUGUGCGACUGCCCCCCGUCAUCCACCAAUUUCUCCCCGGAGUGAGAGACCCAGCCACCGUCCGUGUGCAACUGCAACGGUGAAGGCAAAUAUACAAUUCCUAAAGGCUCCCUUUGCUAAGAUGGAUCCCAAGUUUCUCUUGCAUCUACCCGAUUAUUUUUUACCCCUACUGUAUUCAAUUACAAAUAGAAUUCCAUGGACGCGACACAUGUUAUCGAGUUGUAUCCUUUGUUAGAUAUGAUUGCUGUAAUUGGGAAAGGCGUGAAGCUGUUUCGUUUUUUAUCUGUGACGAUUUGAUUUUAAAGCUGAAACUGCCUGCCAGUAUACUCCCAGAAUGGAUUAGAACACUACCCUUUCUCAAAAGGCUCAAUCAAGAAUAGGAGUAUGGAUUAAACACCUAUUCAUGAGGAAAUAAGUUGUUACUACCUAGACUAACUGAACCACGCAAAAUGACUGACUAUGAGGUAGGCAAGAGAGAAAAAGAUACAGAAGGAUAUGUAUAAAUCCUAACCAGAUCAAUAAUUAAAAUAUAUGAAUACGUAUUUAUUUCUGCAUCUAAUUAAUGAAGUUUACUUGCACAGAGGGAAAUAAUGCACCAAACUUCUAUUAUGUUCAGGCAUCUGCAUGCACUAACUUGAGUUUUGCUGCUGUACUUGCAUUGCGGAGGGGGCUGUUGUUUAGCUUAUUAGGAGGUUCCUACAAGCUCAUUUUAGUUAGGUAGUAUAUUGUUCUCUC